GCCCCGAGCUGCCAGCUGACGGUCGCCUCCAGUGGGCUAGGGCCGGCCGCGGUCAUUAGGCUGCGGGCGCGGGCGGGGGCGGCCGGGCUGGCGGGAGCGCCGGGAGGAGGCGACCGCGCCGCAGCGUCCUGGCCUGGGCGCCCCGCCCGCCGCCGUCCCGCGCCCGCUGGGCUCCUCGCUGCCACCCACCCCCGCCCCCGCUCCCGCCCUGUCACUGGCUUCCCCCGCUCCGCUUCCCGUUUGGCUCGGCCCGCCUCCCUCCGUCUCCCUCCAUCCCCGGUGUCUGUCGAUCUUCUCGUCUGCUGUCCUCCCGGGAUCCCUCCCUGCGUCUCCAGCUCUUCCUUGCUGCGCCUCUCUUUCCCAAGAGCGUUGAGAGAAGAAAGCAGAACUCAAAUGAGCCCCGGAGCAGGAGACCUGUGGAGAAGCAAGCAGCAGGCAGAAAGGUCUAUAGAGUUCUGGAGCUCUUCUGUGCCAGUGUGUUACAUGUCUACAAUGAAACGCCGCAAACCUCUCCUUCAGGUGGCCAGAGAGCACUUUGUUUGGGAGCAAAGAGAACCUCUGGAUUCGGCUCUUCCAGCUCCUCCUCACACCAAACCUGGCUCAGGGCCAGCCCUGCCCACUCUGUUCAGGAAUGUGCUCCAUAGUUGGGAGGAGACUCAAGAAUACAUGGAUCCAUCCAGCAGUUACGUUGUCCUUUAGCAGUUACGUUGUCCUUUAGUUGCUUGUGGGAAAUGAUCUGUUGAAAUCCAGUGAGUUCCAGGCACUGAAUGGGGCUCUGAGAUAGUCUUUUCAAAAAACACACAUGACCCCUUGUGUCCCUCUAGAAAUUAUAAAGUCAGUAGGAGAAAAGGAUCUUGAAUAGCCAUUUAUGGAACUCCUUAGCUGAAAUUACAUUAAGUAUUUUAAGUGAAGUAUUUGAGGUGAAGGUCAAAUGACUUUCUACUGGGAGGGCUGGUGAGAUGGCUCAGUGCUUAAGAGGACUUGUUCUUGUGGAGGACUCUGGUUGGUUCCCAGCUCCAACAUAUCAGCUAACUCCAGCUCCAGAGGAUCAGGCCCCUCCUCUGGCCUCAGUAGAGGCACUGUAGGCAUAUGGUGCAGAAACACACAUGCAUGCAAAAACAGUCAUAAAUAAAAUAAAAUAAAAAUAAAUAAAUCUUGAGGGA
rnacentral:lncRNA from 1 species